rnacentral:rRNA from 1 species
UACGAAGGGGGCUAGCGUUGUUCGGAAUUACUGCGCGUAAAGCGCGCGCAGGCGGUCUUCCAAGUCAGUGGUGAAAGCCCGGAGCUCAACUCCGGAACUGCCAUUGAAACUGUUGGACUUGAGUACGAGAGAGGUGAGUGGAAUUCCCAGUGUAGAGGUGAAAUUCGUAGAUAUUGGGAAGAACACCGGUGGCGAAGGCGGCUCACUGGCUCGUAACUGACGCUCAGGCGCGACAGCGUGGGGAUCAAACAGG